rnacentral:rRNA from 1 species
UAGGGAAUUUUUGCGCAAUGGGGGGAAACCCUGACGCAGCAACGCCGCGUGAUUGAUGAAGCCCUUCGGGGUGUAAAGAUCUGUCAGUAGGGACGAAUAAUGACUGUACCUACAGAGGAAGCACCGGCUAACUCCGUGCCAGCAGCCGCGGUAAUACGGGGGGUGCGAGCGUUGUCCGGAAUCAUUGGGCGUAAAGAGUUCGUAGGUGGUAUGUUAAGUCUGGUGUUAAAUUCCGAAGCUCAACUUCGGUACGGCACUGGAUACUGGCAAACUUGAAUGCGGUAGAGGUAAAGGAAUUCCUGGUGUAGCGGUGAAAUGCGUAGAUAUCAGG